rnacentral:rRNA from 1 species
AACGAACGCUGGCGGCGUGGAUAAGACAUGCAAGUCGAGCGCUCAUUUCUUGGUAGCAAUAUUGAGGAGUGGGAGCGGCGCAAGGGUGCGUAACACGUGGAUCAUCUGCCUGGAAGUUCGGAAUAAUCCCGAGAAAUCGGGACUAAUGCCGGAUGUGGUUGAAAGACUAAAGUUGGGGACCGCAAGGCCUGACGCUUCCAGAUGAGUCCGCGGCCUAUCAGCUAGUUGGCGGGGUAACGGCCCACCAAGGCUAAGACGGGUAGCUGGUCUGAGAGGACGACCAGCCAUACUGGAACUGAGACACGGUCCAGACACCUACGGGUGGCAGCAGUCGAGAAUUUUUCUCAAUGGGCGAAAGCCUGAAGGAGCGACGCCGCGUGGGGGAUGAAGGGCUUCGGUCCGUAAACCCCUGUCAUUUGCGAACAAACCUUAUCAAUGAACAAUUGGUGAGCUGAUUGUAGCGAAAGAGGAAGGGACGGCUAACUCUGUGCCAGCAGCCGCGGUAA